CCUACGGGGAGCAGCAGUGGGGAAUAUUGGACAAUGGGCGAAAGCCUGAUCCAGCCAUGCCGCGUGUGUGAAGAAGGCCUUCGGGUUGUAAAGCACUUUCAGUUGGGAAGAAAGCCUUGGGGCUAAUACCCUCGAGGAAGUACAUCACCCACAGAAGAAGCACCGGCUAACUCCGUGCCAGCAGCCGCGGUAAUACGGAGGGUGCGAGCGUUAAUCGGAAUUACUGGGCGUAAAGCGCGCGUAGGCGGUCUGAUAAGCCGGUUGUGAAAGCCCCGGGCUCAACCUGGGAACGGCAUCCGGAACUGUCAGGCUAGAGUGCAGGAGAGGAAGGUAGAAUUCCAGGUGUAGCGGUGAAAUGCGUAGAGAUCGGGAGGAAUACCAGUGGCGAAGGCGGCCUUCUGGACUGACACUGACGCUGAGGUGCGAAAGCGUGGGUAGCAAACAGGAUUAGAUACCCUGGUAGUC
rnacentral:rRNA from 1 species